AGUGAACGCUGGCGGUAGGCCUAACACAUGCAAGUCGAACGGCAGCACAGUAAGAGCUUGCUCUUACGGGUGGCGAGUGUCGGACGGGUGAGGAAUACAUCGGAAUCUACUUUUUCGUGGGGGAUAACGUAGGGAAACUUACGCUAAUACCGCAUACGACCUACGGGUGAAAGCAGGGGAUCUUCGGACCUUUCGCGAUUGAAUGAGCCGAUGUCGGAUUAGCUAGUUGGCGGGGUAAAGGCCCACCAAGGCGACGAUCCGUAGCUGGUCUGAGAGGAUGAUCAGCCACACUGGAACAGAGACACGGUCCAGACUCCUACGGGAGGCAGCAGUGGGGAAUAUUGGACAAUGGGCGAAAGCCUGAUCCAGCCAUACCGCGUGGGUGAAGAAGGCCUUCGGGUUGUAAAGCCCUUUUGUUGGGAAAGAAAAGCAGCAGGUUAAUACCCCGCUGUUCUGACGGUACCCAAAGAAUAAGCACCGGCUAACUUCGUG
rnacentral:rRNA from 1 species